rnacentral:rRNA from 1 species
UACGUAGGGGGCAAGCGUUGUCCGGAAUUAUUGGGCGUAAAGGGCGCGUAGGCGGCCUCUGCAAGUCGACUGUGAAAUCUCCGGGCUUAACCCGGAACGGUCAGCCGAUACUGCAGGGCUAGAGUGCAGAAGGGGCAACUGGAAUUCUCGGUGUAGCGGUGAAAUGCGUAGAUAUCAAGAGGAACACCAACGGCGAAGGCAGCUAGCUGGACGAGAUCCGACGCUCAGGCUCGAAAGUAUGGGGAGCAAAAAGG